rnacentral:rRNA from 2 species
GAUUCCCGUUACCCGUUAUAGCCAUUGUAGGCGCAUAACCUACAAUCGAAAGCUGAUAAGGCAGACACUUGAAAGAUGCGGCGCCGGCGCGGAGACCGUGCGCUCAGCUAAAAGUUAUUCAGAGUCACCACGAAGGGGUUUGACCUCCCGAGGGAGGACUGGUUUUGAUCUAAUAAAAGCGCUCUUCCACACGGGAGUGUGUCGGAGCUACUGGUUGGCAUGUAUUAGCUCUAGAAUUACCACAGUUAUCCAAGUAAGAAAGGGUAAGAUCCAAUGAACCAUAACUGAUUUAAUGAGCCAUUCGCGGUUUCGCCUUACUUAGGCCUGUACUUAGACAUGCAUGGCUUAAUCUUUGA